GCCCUAAGCCUCCUCAUCGCCCUCGGCCAGUGGCUGGCCACGCUGUCGGUCAGCCAGCCCCGGGAGUCGGCCGCACCCCCGCCCGCCGCCGCAUUUUCCUCAAAAACCCUUGAACCCGACCUGGAGGCGCGCGCCUACCCUUUCCCGCCUGCACUGAGCCCGCGGGCUCGGGUCCUGGAGAGGGGUCUGCCGGUGUCUGCGGCUCUGGCAGAGACUUCGGGAGCCAGCCGUCUGUCCCGGGCUCAAGUUCCUGGCUGAGUCUGGCAGCCUUUGGACCCGCCCCGGGGACAGGAGAUAAGAAUCACCCCUGGGUCUGGGAUCUGCACCCGCGUCCUAGCGCCCGCGGGGGCGUGGGCGCGGCAGCCACCUCGCGGAAUUCGCAGCCAGGAGAUGGGCCUUCUCCAGACAAUCAGGAAAGACAGCCACAUGCAUCUGACAUCCUCACGUUUUGGCAGAAGAAAGGAGAUUUUCACUAACAGAUGGGAAAAGCGAUGAGAGACAUUUCCGUCUGUAUGAAAGCUCUCAGUUGCAUUUGUGAAGAGUGGAGAUGGAGUCUGCCUCCUUUUCAGGGCCUUUGAGAAUAAACACAGCCUCUUGACCACAGCUUGAAACAUAACAUGGGUCUGAUGCAUAUUUGAAGAAUGAAUGAAUAUAUGUAUGAAUCAAUGAAGGCUGCAGAGAUAGAAUGAUGGUCUCCUGUAGAUCCUGACCAAGUAUGGCAACACAGACAAAUUAGGUAAUUGCUCGGUGCUUUAAAAAGUAAGCAAGCAAACAAACAAAUGAAGUAAGUCUCACAUUUAUUGAGUGCUGAACAUUGCAUAUAAGUGCUUUCAAUACAUUUUCUCAAUUGACCCUCGUGGACACUGUGAGGUAGGUGCUUUCCCUACUUUACAGAGGAAGAGACUGAGGUUCAGAGAGGUUAAGUACCUUGCCUAAGAUGGCACAACCAGUAUUUAAACCUGGUGUGACAAAGAUGAUAUUCUUAAUUACAGUGCUAUGUACCACUGUUUUUUAAUUUGUAAUGUCACUGUAACACUGUCUACCCCAUGAUUUUAUAACAAAAAAUGAACAGUGUAUCAGAAUCUUCAUUAAUAACUAUAAUGUUUUCAAUGACAUAUUUCUCUAUCAAAAAGUUAAAAACACAAGGUGGAAGAAAUAGAGAAGGCAUAGAGAUGCCUUCCAGUAUAUUUGAUAUGGAGAUUGUGUCAUUAAAAUAUUGUUAUAUAAUUUUAGCAAAUUUUCUGUAUAUCUAAAAUUACUCUAAAAUUAAAUUUUUAUUUAAAAAAAAUACUAUGAAGCACAUGAAAAAAAUGUUUACCUUCAUUAGUCAUUCGGGAAAUGCAAACCAAAACCACAAUGAGAUACUACUAUACCCACACUAGAUUGGGUAUAAUUUUUUUCAAUAGAAGGUAACAACUGUUGGUGCAGAUGCGAAGAAAUUAAAACACGGAUUGCUGCAAAAUGAUGCAGACACUGUGCCAAGCAGUUUUAUGGUUCUUCAGUAUGUUAAACAGAAUUACUGUAUGACCCAGCAAUUCAAUUCCUAGGUGUAUAUAUCCAAAAGAAUUGAAAACAGGUGUACAACUUGUACAUGAGUGUUCAUAGCAGCAAUAUUCACUAUAGCCAAAGAUGGAAACAACCCAAAUGUCCAUCAACAAAUUAACGUAUAAACAAAAUGCUGUUAUCCGUACAAUGGAAUAUUAUUCACCUAUAAAAAAGGAACAAAGUGUUGGUAUCUGCUAUAAGGUAGAACCUUGACAGCAUGAUGUUAAGUGAAAGAAGCCAAAUACAAAAUUCCACGUAGUGUGUGAGUCCAUUUAUAUGAAAUGUCCAGAAUAGGCACAUCUGUAGAGACAAGAAAUAAAUUAGUGGUUAUCAGGAGCUGGGGGGAAGCAGGAAGAGUGCUGGUGAAUGGCUACGGGACUUCUUGUGGGAUGAUGAAAAUGUUCUCGAACUAAAUAGUGGUUGCACAACCCUGUGGAUGUACUAAAUGCCACUGAAUUGUGUACUUUAAAAUGGUUAAAAUGGUAAACUUCAUGUGAUGUGAAUUUUAGCUAAAUUAAAAAAAAAACACUCUGACACCAUUGAAAACAGGUGAUUACUAAAAUAAUACAGAAUGUGCUGGGGUACGCAAUCCAACUUACAAAGGAAAAAAAUUUAAAUAUCACAUGAAAUACCAGCGCUCACUACAGCAUUGUAAUUUAGAGCAUGGACUGUCAGAACUGGCAGCUCUCAAAUCAAUGCCCUCUGCUGUCACAUAAUGGCUGGUUAUCCUUCAGCCAGUUUUAUAACCUGUCUGAGACUCACUGUCUUCAUUCAUAUACUGUGUGUUAUUGCUGUUAGUUAUAAUGAAAUACUUUUUAUAUAAGUUGUCACUUAGCCUAAAAAUGAUGUUGAUGAAUGUAUACUUUGUUUUUCUUUUCCCUUGUGUAUAUAUGAAUUGAGUGUUGCUAGUCUUUCCGAUGAUCAUUACAUUAGAAGCAAAGUGAUCAGGGUUUGGGGAGAUAACAAUCAUAUUUUUAUCACCAUAUGUGGCCUUCUACAACCCAGGAAAAGUAUCCUGUGAACAGAUCUUUAAAGCAGUUUCCGAAGGAGUUGAGCAGUCCGCGGUAACUAUUAUGUGAGGUGAUAUUGAAAUUAGGCUACAUUGUUGUUACAAAAAUUUCUGGGUUGGUCCCAACCUGGUACCAAGUAAAAACAGUCGUGGAAUCUGGGAAUUGCUAGGGAAGACUUUAUUAAGAAAAAAGAUACCUACUUCUCCUUCCCUUCCCCUUGAGAAUAACAAAGCUGUCACCAUGAAUAUCAAGACUGCUAUUUCUUCUUGUAUUUGCAUAUGGCAUCCUCCCAGGUAAUUUGUGGAGCAUAUCCUGACACAGCUUCGGAAGAAACCAUAUAGUUCCUUUAGUAUCAUUAGUAAUCCAAAGUCCAAAACGUUUAAAGAGGCAGAGGAAAUCCGUCUCCCAAAGGUUCAGACAGAGCACUCUCUGCUCUAUACCGUAUACAAUUCCUCCACCCACACAGCUCAGCCUCUCUCAGGGAAGAGAAAGAAACUUCUAGAACCCUGCCCUCUAACCUCUGUUCCUCAUCCUCUCAGAGUCCCCCCUGGGAGUUGAAGAAUGCGGGGAAAUAGCUGCAGGGUUUGGCUUCCAGUUGGUCAACCCUGACGCUAAUUGCUCUAUGGGAGAGUUUCAGUCUCUGCUCUUGGCAAGAAACCGUAGGACAACAAAAGCUGGCAGCUGAGUGACUGUGUGAGGAGCAGGGCGGUGGGUCUGAUGGGUAUCUGGGGAGGGAAGGCUUCAACAGAGUUUCCUUUCCUGCUGGAACAUUCACGUCCUACCAACAACUGUAACAAAGUUUGACUGGCCUCUGACCUACAGGCAAACCUCAUUUUCUUGUAUUUUUUUAUAAAUUGACCGUUUGUGACAACCCUGCCUCCAGCAAGUCUAUCGGCGCCAUUUUUCCAACAGCAUUUGCUCACGUCAAGUCUCUGUGUCACAUUUUGGUAAUUCUUGCAGUUCUUUGAUCUUUUUCACUGUUACUACAUUUGUUGUGGUGAUCUGUGACCAGCGAUCUUUGAUAUUAUUAUUGUGAUCGUUUUGCGGCACCACAAACUGUGCCCGUGUAAGGUGGUUAACUUACCUGGUAAAUGUUGUGUGUAUUCUGACAGCUCUACCAGCCUUCUGUUCCCCUAUCUCUCUCCCUCUUCUCCGGCCUCCCUGUUCCCUGAGACACAACAAUGUUGGAAUUAGGCCAGUUAAUAAUCCUACAGUGGCCUCCUGGUGUUCAAGUGAAGGGAAGAAUCUCACAUCAAUCAUUUCAAGUCAAAAGCUAGAAAUGAUUAAGCUUAGUGAGGAAGCCGUGUCGAAAGCCGAGAUAGGCCGAAAGCUAGGCCUCUUGCUCCAGUUAGCCACGUUGUGAGUGCAGAGGAAACGUUCUUAAAGAAAAUUUAAAAUGCUCCUCCAGUGAACGCACAAAUGAUAAGUCAAAGAGCUUUAUUGCUGAUACAGAGAAAGUGUUAGUGGUCUGGAUAAAAGAUCAAACCAGCCGCAACACCUCAUUCAGCCAAGGCUUUAUCCAGAGGAAGACCCUAACUCUCUUCAGUUCUAUGAAGGCUGAGAGAGGUGAGGAAACUGCAGAAGAAAAGUCUGAAGCCAGCAGUGGUUGUUCAUGAGGUUUCAGGAAAGAAACCGUCUCUAUAAAAGUGCAAGAUGCAACAGCAAGUGCCAAUGUAGAAACUGCAGCAGGUUAUCCAGAAGAUCUAGCUAAGAUAAUUCAUAAAGAUGGCUACACUAGAUGGAAGAUUUUCAGUGUAGGUGAAACAGCUGUAUAUUGGAAGAAGCCAUCUAGGACUUUCAUAGCUCGAGAGGAGAAGUCAGAGCCUGGCUUCGAAGCUUCAAAGGACAGGCUGACUCUCUUGUUACAGGCUAAUGCAGCUGAUGACUUGAGGUUUAAGCCAAUGCUCAUUUACCAUCUCGACAAUCCUAGGGCCCUCCAGAUUUAUGCUGAAUCAGCUCUGCCUGUGCUCUAUCAAUGGAACAACAAACCCUGGAUGACAACACAUCUGCUAACAACAUGUUAACAGACUAUUUUGAGGCCACUGAUGAGACUUACUGCUCAGAAAAGAUUCCUUUCAAAAUAGUACUGCUCAUUGACAAUGCACCUGGUCACCCAAGAGCUCUGAUGGAGAUGGUCAGAGAGAUUCGCAUUGUUUCCGUGCAUGCUAGCACAGACAGCAUCCAUUCUGCAGCCUACAGGUCAAGGAGUCAUCUUGACUUUCAAGUCUUAUUAGUUAAGAAAUACAUUUCAUAAGGCUAUAGCCACCAUACAUAGUGAUUCCUCUGGUGGAUCUAGGCAAAAUACAUCAAAAAGGUUCUGGAAAGGAUUCACCAUUCUAGAUGCCAUUAAGAACAUCCAUGAUUCAUGGGAAGAGGUCAAAAUAUCAAUAUUAACAGGAGUUUGGAAGAAGUUGAUUCCAACCCUCAUGGCAGACUUUGAGGGGUUCAAGACUUCAGGGGAGGAAGGAACUGCAGAUGUGGUAGAAAUAGCAAGAGAACUAGAAUUAGAGUGGGGAGCCUGAAGAUCGGACUGAAUGGCUGCAAUCUCAGGAUAAAACUUUUAACAGAUGAGCAGUGGCUUCUUAUGGAUGAGUGAAGAAAGUGGUUUCUUGAGAUACAACCCAGUCCUGGUGACAAUGCUGUCAAGAUUGUCAAAAUGACAACAAAGGAUUUAGGAUACGACAUGAACUUAGCUGAUUACAGCAGCAGCAAGUUUUGAGAAGGUUAACUCCAAUUUGAAAGAAACUCUACUGCAGCUAAAAUGCUAUCAAACAGCAUUGAGUGUUACGGAGAAUUCGUUUAUUAAAGGAAGAGUCAACUGACGUGGCAAACUUCAUUGUUUCCUUAUUUUAAGAAAUUGCCACAGUCACCUCAGCCUUCAGCAACCACCACCCUGAUCAGUCAGCAGCCAUUGACAUCAAGGCAGGAUCCCCCACCAGCAGAAAGAGGACAGCUUGCUGAAGGCUCAGGUGAUGGUUAACAUUUUUAAGCAAUCAAAUAUCUUUUAAUUAAGGUAUGUACAUUGGUUUUUUUGGACAUAAUGAUGUUGCACACUUAAUGGACUUGCAACCGUGUAAACAUAACUUUUAUAUGCUUUGGGAAACCAAAAAAUUUGUGUGACUCGCUUUAUUGCAAUGUUUGCUUUAUCGUGCAGUCUGAAACCAAACCCGCAGUGUCUCCGAGGUCUGCCUGUACUGGAUGAACGCAAAGUGGCUGAAACACCCCUUAUUUUCUGUAUACCUUAUGUGACUUCUCCAACUAUUAAAUGUCCUGUAUUUGUUUUAGUGGCACCUAUACUUUUUCAUUCAGGCAUUCAUUCACUCAAAAAUAUUUCCCUGAGUGCCUACCAUGUGCCAACAGUGUGCUAAGUACUAAGUACCGAUUCAGCCAUUCAUUCAGUGGGUAUUUAUGGGGCACCUAAUACCUAUCAGGGAGAUGAGCUUUGAAGGAAAAAGUUGUCAGCUAAAUGGACGAAAGCUGUGUUCUCAUGGAGCUUAAUUUUAGUGGAGCAAUACAGAAAUGAAGAGUCUUUGAGUAGUCGAAUUCCUUUGCAGGAUGCGGAAAAGGGAAUUGUGACACCCAGAGUUAGGCCUGUUAUUUUGUAUAAGGGAGGCAAGGCCUCAUGGAAAGUUCAUAUCUGAGCAGAAACCUAAAGGAAAUGAGAGAGUGGACCAGAUGGCUGUCCAGGAGACAGUGUUCCAGGCAGAGGGAACAGCACAGCCACAGCCAAAGGCCCUGGAGUACAGCAUGCUUGGUAUGGCAUGGAAAUACAAAGGUGAAAAGUCUAGAUACUGCUUUUACUUUCUUGGAAUGUAGAGUCUGGUUGUGGAAACAGAUAGUAAUCAGUUAUCUCCCAAACAGAUGUUUCAUUCUGAAGACCCAAUGUGCCAGGCGGGAAACACA